AAACCAACCGGGAUUGCCUUAGUAACGGCGAGUGAAGCUGCAAAAGCUCAAAUUUGAAAUCUGGUACCUUCGGUGCCCGAGUUGUAAUUUGGAGAGGGCAACUUUGGGGCCGUUCCUUGUCUAUGUUCCUUGGAACAGGACGUCAUAGAGGGUGAGAAUCCCGUGUGGCGAGGAGUGCGGUUCUUUGUAAAGUGCCUUCGAAGAGUCGAGUUGUUUGGGAAUGCAGCUCUAAGUGGGUAGUAAAUUCCAUCUAAAGCUAAAUAUUGGCGAGAGACCGAUAGCGAACAAGUACAGUGAUGGAAAGAUGAAAAGAACUUUGAAAAGAGAGUGAAAAAGUACGUGAAAUUGUUGAAAGGGAAGGGCAUUUGAUCAGACAUGGUGUUUGUGCCCUCUGCUCCUUGUGGGUAGGGGAAUCUCGCAUUUCACUGGGCCAGCAUCAGUUUGGUGGCAGGAUAAAUCCAUAGGAAUGUAGCUUGCCUCGGUAAGUAUUAUAGCCUGUGGGAAUACUGCC
rnacentral:rRNA from 1 species